rnacentral:rRNA from 1 species
GGUCAGGACGAACGCUGGCGGCGUGCCUAACACAUGCAAGUCGAGCGAUGAAGUCUCGGAACGGAUUAGCGGCGGACGGGUGAGUAACACGUGGGUAACCUGCCUUGUAGAGGGGGAUAGCCUUCCGAAAGGAAGAUUAAUACCGCAUAAUAUCUUUUUUAUCGCAUGGUAGAAAGAUCAAAGGAGUAAUCCGCUACAAGAUGGACCCGCGGCGCAUUAGCUAGUUGGUGAGGUAACGGCUCACCAAGGCGACGAUGCGUAGCCGACCUGAGAGGGUGAUCGGCCACAUUGGAACUGAGACACGGUCCAGACUCCUACGGGAGGCAGCAGUGGGGAAUAUUGCGCAAUGGGGGAAACCCUGACGCAGCAACGCCGCGUGAAUGAAGAAGGCCUUAGGGUUGUAAAGUUCUGUUUACGGGGACGAUAAUGACGGUACCCGUGGAGGAAGCCACGGCUAACUACGUGCCAGCAGCAGC